AUGGGUAUGAGAAGGGCAUUUGGUGGAUGCCUUGGCGCAUGGAAGCGAUGAAGGACGUGUUAGGCUGCGAAAAGCCCGGUGGAGGUGCCAAAAACCUUUGAUACCGGGAUGUCCGAAUGGGAAAACCCCCCUCUUAGAGGGACCGGCAUCUGAAUAUAUAGGAUGUUGGGGCGAACCCGGGGAACUGAAACAUCUAAGUACCCGGAGGAAAGGAAAUCAACCGAGACUCCCUGAGUAGUGGCGAGCGAAAGGGGACCAGGCCAGUGGCCUGUCAUUAACAACUGGAACACUCUGGAAAGUGUGGCCAUAGUGGGUGAUAGCCCCGUAUGUGAAAUCGGACCGGUGGUACUAAGCGUACGACAAGUAGGGCGGGACACGUGACAUCCUGUCUGAAUAUGGGGGGACCAUCCUCCAAGGCUAAAUACUCGUAAUCGACCGAUAGUGAACCAGUACCGUGAGGGAAAGGUGAAAAGAACCCUAAGUAAGGGAGUGAAAGAGAACCUGAAACCGUACGCCUACAAGCGGUCGAAGCACAUUAACUGUGUGACGGCGUGCCUUUUGCAUAAUGAGCCUACGAGUUACUGUUGCUAGCAAGGUUAAGAAUUUAAGAUUCGGAGCCGAAGCGAAAGCGAGUCUGAAUAGGGCGUAUAGUUAGUAGUAGUAGACGCGAAACCGAGUGAUCUACCCAUGGGCAGGUUGAAGCUGUGGUAACACACAGUGGAGGACCGAACCAGUUGACGUUGAAAAGUCUUUGGAUGACCUGUGGGUAGGGGUGAAAGGCCAAUCAAACUCGGAAAUAGCUCGUACUCCCCGAAAUGCAUUUAGGUGCAGCGUUGAGUAAAAGUUUUAUAGAGGUAGAGCUACUGAUUGGAUGCGGGGGCUUCACCGCCUACCAAUUCCUGACAAACUCCGAAUGCUAUAAAAUGUUUCUCAGCAGUGAGGGCAUGGGUGCUAAGGUCCAUGUCCGAGAGGGAAAGAACCCAGACCAUCAGCUAAGGUCCCCAAAUGUAUGCUAAGUUGAAAAAACGAGGUUUGACUGCCCAGACAGCUAGGAUGUUGGCUUGGAAGCAGCCAUUCAUUUAAAGAGUGCGUAACAGCUCACUAGUCGAGCGGUCGAGCAUGGAUAAUAAUCGGGCAUAAGUAUACUACCGAAGCUAUGGACUUGUAAAAGUGGUAGGGGAGCAUUCUAUUUGCGCUGAAGGUGAACUGUGAGGUUUGCUGGAGCGGAUAGAAAAGAAAAUGUAGGCAUAAGUAACGAUAAAGGGGGCGAGAAACCCCCUCACCGAAAGACUAAGGUUUCCUCAGCGAUGCUAAUCAGCUGAGGGUUAGUCGGGACCUAAGGCGAAUCCGAAGGGAGUAGUCGAUGGACAACAGGUUAAUAUUCCUGUACUUCUUAUAAAUGCGAUGGGGUGACGGAGUGAUGAACCCGCCGCGAGCUGACGGAAAUGCUCGUUGAAGUAUGUAGGUAUUGGAUUUAUAGUUAAAUGCGUAGAUCUAGCCGAAGUACGAUAGUACCACAAUUCUUCGGAUGCGUGGAUAGUGCGGCUAAGGGCUUCCAAGAAAAACCUCUAAGCUUCAGUUUAUAAGAACCCGUACCGUAAACCGACACAGGUAGUUGGGAUGAGAAUUCUAAGGUGCUCGAGAGAUUCAUGGCUAAGGAACUAGGCAAAAUAGACCUGUAACUUCGGGAGAAAGGUCGCCAGCAGUAAUGCUGGCCGCAGUGAAAAGAUCCAGGCGACUGUUUAUCAAAAACACAGGGCUAUGCUAAAUCGAAAGAUGACGUAUAUGGCCUGACACCUGCCCGGUGCUGGAAGGUUAAGAGGAGAGCUUAGCGCAAGCGAAGGUUUGAAUUGAAGCCCCAGUAAACGGCGGCCGUAACUAUAACGGUCCUAAGGUAGCGAAAUUCCUUGUCGGGUAAGUUCCGACCUGCACGAAUGGCGUAACGAUGGCUACACUGUCUCCACCUAAGACUCAGUGAAAUUGAAUUUGCUGUUAAGAUGCAGUAUACCCGCGGCUAGACGGAAAGACCCCGUGAACCUUUACUAUAGCUUUAUAUUGAAUAUUAAUUUUAUUUGUGUAGGAUAGAUGGUAGAUAAUGAUGCAAAGGCGCUAGCUUUUGUUAAAUCAACCUUGAAAUACCAUCCUUUUGAUUUUGAUAUUCUAACUUAUUGACCGUUAUCCGGUAUAAGGACAGUGUAUGGUGGGUAGUUUGACUGGGGCGGUCUCCUCCUAAAGAGUAACGGAGGAGCACAAAGGUACCCUCGAAACGUUUAGAAAUCGUUUUGUGAGCGCAAAGGUAUAAGGGUGCUUGACUGCGAGAGUGACAAUUCGAGCAGAGUCGAAAGACGGUCUUAGUGAUCCGGUGGUUCUUUAUGGAAAGGCCAUCGCUUAACGAAUAAAAGGUACUCCGGGGAUAACAGGCUGAUACCGCCCAAGAGUUCAUAUCGACGGCGGUGUUUGGCACCUCGAUGUCGGCUCAUCACAUCCUGGGGCUGAAGCCGGUCCCAAGGGUAUGGCUGUUCGCCAUUUAAAGUGGUACGCGAGCUGGGUUUAGAACGUCGUGAGACAGUUCGGUCCCUAUCCGUCGUGGGCGCAGGAAAUUUGAGAGGAGCUGUCCUUAGUACGAGAGGACCGGGAUGGACGCACCGCUGGUGUACCAGUUGUCUUGCCAAAGGCAUCGCUGGGUAGCUAUGUGCGGACGGGAUAAGCGCUGAAAGCAUCUAAGUGCGAAGCCCCCCUCAAGAUGAGAUUUCCCAUUUCUUCAAGAAAGUAAGACACCUCAGAGACGAUGAGGUAGAUAGGCCGGGAGUGGAAGAGCCGUGAGGCUUGGAGCGGACCGGUACUAAUCAGUCGAGGACUUGACCAA
rnacentral:rRNA from 1 species